CCCUUAGAUGUCCUGGGCUGCACGCGCGCUACACUGAUGUGUCCAGUAAGCACCUAACCUCUUCCGAAAGGAACGGGUAACCUUUGCAAAGCACAUCGUGAUGGGGAUAGAUUAUUGCAAUUAUUAGUCUUGAACGAGGAAUUCCUAGUAAGCACAAGUCAUCAGCUUGUGUUGAUUACGUCCCUGCCCUUUGUACACACCGCCCGUCGCUCCUACCGAUUGAAUGUUCCGGUGAGCUCUUCGGACUGCGCGGUCUGCAGUUUUUGCGUUCCGUGCGGAAAGUUGCGCAAACCUUAACAUUUAGAGGAAGGAGAAGUCGUAACA
rnacentral:rRNA from 1 species